AUGCUUACCUGGCAGGGGAAAUACCAUGAUCAGGAAGAUGGUUUUCCCAGUGCAAGUUUUAUCCAUUGAACUCCAGAUGUGCUGAGCCUUGUGAUCUCUCCAAAUGUGGGAAACUCAACCAUAUAAUUUGUGGUAGUAGGGGACUGUAUUCUUACUGUCUCCUG